rnacentral:lncRNA from 1 species
AAGAUUUGAAUUCUAAUCUCAGCUUUGUAUUUUGCUAGCUGGUAUGACCCUGCACUUAAUUCCUAAAAGAUCCUGAGCCUAUUUCUUAGUCAUCCGAUAAAUGAACUGGAUGGAGUCGUAUCUGGGUUCACCAUACCCUAUACCUUCCUAUCCCUCUGCUGUGCCUGAUAUGCUUCUGAGCAACCUCUGAAAUCCAAUAUCAACUUGAUUUGGUGACAGAAAGUUUGUGGGGAUACUUGUAAGUGGAUAUUAUCAUCCUAUGCUUUAUAAUAAUAGUCUCCACUGGGUUCUCCAUGGUUUGGGAUAAAAAUGAAACUUAAUGAGUGAGGGGGACAACUAUUUUGAAAAUAUUAGUAACUUUCCUACAUUUGGCCUUUUAACCUUUAGAAGCAUUGAUGGAGACACUUUUAAACUGAUUCUAGCUGACAUUUGGAGGAAAACUGUAAAAUGAGGUUAUUAUCUAUACGGAUUGUUUAUAUGAAGCUCUUAGCAAAGUAAAAGGGACACUUUAGGUACUGCAACUUCAGCAUCAAGUCGGUUUUGCCGCAGAAAGAUGCUUUUAGUGGCUGAAAUCAUAGUGAUUGAAGUAUUAUGCUGAAAGGAACCUUGAGGAGCCAUCUAUCUGGUCCACCUUUCUGCCUGGGGCCAUGUCACAUUUGAGCUAUAAAAAGAGAUUAGAAAUCUUUUUUGUUUUUGAAAGGAGAUUCCACAACUACCCCUAUCCUUUUCUAGUAAUCGACAUGCUCACCUGUCAACAAAUUGUUUUUCAUAGCUAACCUAAAUCCCUAGGGCUGCAGUUUGAAUUCUUUUUAUUCCAUCCUUAGAGGUAAAACACAGCCAGUAUAAUAACUCCUCAUGUACAUGAAGAUUGUUAUCAAGAUGCUAUUCAGGGAGUUUCCAUUGUGGCUCAGUGGAAACAAAUCCAGCUAGUAUCCAUGAGGACGUAGGUUCAAUUCCUGGCCUCUCUCAGUAGGUCGAGGAUCCGGUAUUACCAUGAGCUGUGGCGUAGGUCACAGAUGUGGCUCAGAUCCCACAUCGUUGUGUCUGUGGUGUAGGCUGGCAGCUGUAGCUCCAGUUCAGCCCCUAGCCUGGGAACCUCUAUAUGCCAUGGGUGCAGCCCUAAAAAGCUCCCCCCGCCAAAAAAAAAGUCACAUUCCUUUAACCGUCUCCUCGUAAUUCCUAACCCUUUAGUCACCUUCCUCUUGCACAUAUGAACUCGCCUCAUGUCUUCAACGUCUCAGUUGUGAGUCCCAGGAUGAUAUAUGAUAGCAUAUUUGUCUAUUAUACCUUGGGAACUGCAUAGCUGAAUAGCGUAUAUGAACAUGAUAAUGUGGAUUCUGUUUCUAUUUAAGCAAACAUAUGCUGAAAACUUCUCCUCUUAAUGUUAAAAAUGCAAAGCAUUGUAUUAACAGCAAGAGAGAUUACAAGGUAAGACAAGAAUAAAUUUUGGUAGCAAACAACUCCAGUCUCAGUCCUGGAUGUAACUGAAUUCACUGGGCAAAUAUAUUCUAACUUAUAAGCUUACUUUCCUACUAUGUUACAUAAGAUGAUAAUAAUAAAAAUGGUAAAUUCCUUGAAGGCAAGGACUAUUUCUUAUUUUUGUAUCUCUAAGACUUAGCCCAAUCCAUAUCAUAAAUUAACAGUCACUUAAUAUUUGAAUUUUGCUGAAGGGUUGCUUGUGACAAUUAAAUGAGAUUUAUGUAUGUGAAAAUAUUUGGUCAACUACUGAACCCUACAUAACUGUGGGUCAUUGCUAUUAAUUUUUAAAGAUUCAUUAUUAGUAGAGACUUUAAAAAAAAAUUAGACUUGGAUAUGCACUUAUCUUUCCAGGAACAUUCUGCUAUCCACUUGUAUACUUUAUAAAGUCAUAUCAAAACAUGUUCCCUAAAAUGAAUAAUCAGUAGCACACAGCUUACUAUUUGGAGUUAAAUGCUUAGGCUCUUCUGAUGAGCAAUCUGAGAAUGACAAAGGAACUCAAAAUGUGACUAAGGUGACCUCCUGGAUUCAAUCAGAAGUCACCAUGGCACCUGGAGAACAGAGCUACUCUGAAAAAUUUAUAUUUUUCCAGGGCUCCCAUGACUGUGUACAUAUUCCUGUGGGGGAGAGAAAGUCAGUGAUGUCUUUGACUGACAAAGGCACCCAAAGGUUUUAAUAACAUUAUUUUAUUUAUUAACAACAUGGAUAAAAGGAGUCUUUGAGGUACUUGAUCUUCUUCCAUGGGGAACAUUGCCAGAGGACCAGAAGAGUAAUACAAGGGAAAAUUUUAUAUCAGAGACUUAAAAAAGGAAUUUUUGUGAAACAUAGUUUCUUCUUUCUAAAGAGCAUCCUCUCCUGUCUUUGUACUUGACUUACAAAUAUUUGACUCGAAGAACUUGAGCUUGUCAUCAAAGUGGUUUAGGGUGAGAUCUUAGCUCUGCCACGCAAGUAGAUGCUUGGGAAAAUUACCCAGUCUCUCUAAACUGUUUUUGCUGGGACGUGGGAAAGAAGUUAUCAAGUUCUUAAGACUCCUGGCACUAUGGGGUUUUUGGCAAUGUCAUUACCUUCUUCAUCUUCUGCUAUCCUUCUCUUUUGGCUAUCUUGUUAGUGGGAAUUGGCUAGUUAAUAUUAUUUACAAAACUAGUAUUUCGGUGGCUUUUAAGAGACCCCUGCAAGAGGAGCCAGAAACUUUGAUAAAGCAUUUUAUUGAAUUUCUUUCCAAGAGUGAUAUUAAUUGCUUGAUAAAGACACAAAGCUAUAAAUCUCUGAGAACAUGUUCGUACUUGAGAAACCAAGUCAAAAAGUUAUAUCUUUAAAAGUGAACAUUGAUUACAACCUGCCAAGGCCUAUACUAUGGGAAAAAAAUUCUGGACAAGGAAUCAGAAGGCCUGGGUUUGGAGCCAGCUCUGCCACAAAUGAGAUAACCUUGGGCAAGUCACUUUUCUUUAUGGGAUCUUAAUUGCUUCGUCUUUGAAAUGAGAAGAUUAUAGCCAAGGCUUUCCUGUAUCAACAGUUUAGGUACUGAGAUUGAGAUACUAUUACUCUUUCAAAGAGAUUCUGCCUGGAGCACUGCAAGUUUGGGGUUCCACCUUGCUCUGCUACCAGAACUUCUGACCUGGAGAACUUCUGCAAAGUGACACAGUCCAUGGGCCGGCACAUCUCUGUAGGGAAAAUAUCAAGAGCCCCCAUGUGCACACAAGAAGAUGCUGGAGGCACUCUGCCCCCUAACAUUUUUUUUCAUGAAGAUCAUACUAUCUUGAUUAGUAAGAAAGUAUAUCACCAGUUAGAAAUGUAGAAAGAACAAAAGCAACAAAAAGAACACUAAGCAGGAGUUCAGGAUAAAGAAAAUGACAGAAAGAGAGUAAAAACCAUAUAUAUCUGAAAUCGGACAAAUAAUUUACUUUGCUAAAUCAAAUUUCAGAGAUUGAAAUCUGAAGCAGUAUUUUGUUGCUGCAGUCUCUGUUGAAUUUGCCAAAUAAGAAUGUCAUCUUAAUAAUUUAAUUUUCAUGGAGCUGGAAAGGUAUAAAUAUUUGUGACUCUCCCACUUACAGCCUAAAUUAGAUCUCUUUAUCUGGAAUAAAACAAUAUAUUUGAAAAGCUCAUAUUUUUAUUCUUUCUCUAUGUUCUUUGGACUUGAAAAUGGACCAUAUUUAAUUAUAUGCUUGGCAUAGGACCAUAUUCUUGGCCGUAACAGAUGAUAAAUCAACUCACUUCACCCAACCAAAAAAGCAAAAUAAUUUAUAGAUGUUGCUAUCACAUAGCUAUCAGCAGUGUUAUCUACUGUUAAAGAGAGUAGGAAAAUCAGCCAGAGGCACACAUCAUAUUUAUUGCUUUUAUAAGCAGAAUAUUCAAGAAUGUUGCUUCUUACAGUAAAAACUGAAUUGAAAUACCCUGCAGACGCGCCACCUAAACUACAGCGAAGAACCGUCUUUGCUCUUUUCCUGUUGCUGAUCAGGGAGAAUCCCCAGUCCAGAACUUAGAAUUCAUAUUUUUUGUAUACAUUUAUUUUUUCUCUCAAAAGAUCCAAAUUAAAAAAUAAACUGAUUUAAAACUUAAGGGUAAAGUAAAUAAGAAGUACAUGGACAAACUUUAGAAUCCUUAACAACUUAAGAGUCAUCCUAAAAGAGUUUAAAAUGCAUUAGCAUUUAAUUUGAGAAAGAAAAGGAAGACCCAAUUGCUAUAUAUUUCUGUUCAGAAUUUACUGCUGUUGCCCUGGAAUAGGAAGGAACAGGUUUCUGUUGAGUUGGCAAGUUAGAGUGCUUGAAUGGAAUAAAGAGAAGUAGGCCAAGGAAAUCACACUGCUUUUAGUACUAUUUUUGCAAAGAGCUUUUUUGGACCAAGUCCAUGACUGUUACAAGUAAGUAGUCAGUUGUAAGAAGAAUGUGAGUGGCCAUCAAGUAGGCUGUGGCUUUAUAUUAAUACACUAUUACUGUUACUAAUGUUAAUUUGAAUCUGGAGAUUUAUGAGCAAACCAAGUGGCUGAUAUUCUGCAAUGAGCCUCAGGUCCCUUUCCUAGUGAGUCCUGGAUGUGGAGGUCAUUUAUUAAACCUGAUACAAAAAUCCACUUUCUUGAGUGCUUGCAAAAUAGUUGGGGUUCGGGUUCUACAUCUUAACUUUAUACUCACUCAUCAUGGUAUUCUUAAUUUCUCUAUUUUACAUAAGAAAAAAGAAAGAGAAGAGUCACACAACUGGGAAAUGGCCCUUCCCAGUCAAGAUUUCAAAUCCUAUUCCCUUUUGUCCAUAUCCUCUUGCCUUCCCUAGUAUUUUUCUGCAUUCAUAUGGACUGCUCCAUUGUUCUUCAAGGCAUGGCAGUAUUUGUUCUCCUGCUGGGACUUUUCUAGACACAUAGAAUAACUGCAGAGGUGAGGGGGGGAAAGGUGAGGGAGAGAGCUGAAGCAGCAUACCAGGAAUCCGGAGUUCAUAAACUCUCAUCUAACAGGACAUUGGUCAGUGGUGGCAGUAAUAUGGUUUCCAAAUGGUCAGUCGCAAUCUCACUUUUUUCACACAACCUCUGCUACUCCUACCACGACCUGCACUGCUACGCACCCUCACAUCUGGGGCCUCUUUUUAUUUCUCUUUCCAAUCCAGUUUCCUUCAAAGCAUAGGGGUGAAAUUUAGUUAUUGGGGUAGGUUCAAAUGAUCUCCCAGGAAGCUUUUCUUUCAGGGCCCCUGAAUGUUCAAUAGGAAGAGGCUAUUUGGCCUGGAGCACAGAUAGAACUUCUCUGGGCCACACAGCCCAUCUCUGCAUGCCAGUACCUCAUCCCACAUAUAGCCCAGUGACCGAAGGAUAGAUGCUUCUGGUAACCCGGAAGAGGAAAGUGGAGGAAACAGCAAGAAGGUAGAAGACUUGGGCAUGCCAAGUGUAUAAACAGUUCUUAGCUUUUUUUUUUAAGUCUUUUGGGUGAAAUAAUAGUAAAUGACACUGUAGGAUGUGGGUCAUCUUUAUUAUAAUGGCCUUUAUUCAUUUUGGUUGCAGCCAGCUGGGUUCAGCAAUAUGCUUGCUAGGAAUCUGUCACAGCUGAAGAGACGGGUUAGUGCCAGAGCUGGGAUCUGACCCAGGUAGCCCAAAUGUGUAGUCUCCAUGGUGACCUAUAGGGAAGAGAGCGUGGAACCCAUAUAAUCAUAUGUGGAAUUUCAGAGUCUUGUAUGAUCUUCCAGCUCGUGGCCUGGUUUCCUUUGUCUUUGAAUUUCUAAUAUGUGAGUUUAAAACAUGUAAAUUAAGCUGAAGGUGGGCUAUAGGGUUAACUAUGAGCUAGAUUCUGCAUUGUGGCAUGCUUAAGAUGGAUGUUUACCCCCAUUGCUCUUUAAUGCUUUCUUAUUUGUCUUUCUCAGGCAAAACAUCCAAAGCUGAACCUACUUUUUGUUGAAGUAAUACCACGAUUUAUACAGAAAGAAAAUCCUACAUUUUUUUUUUUUCAAGCUUUGCUGAAAGUAAUGGAACUGAGUAAAAAAAGCACAAAUCGUGGGGCAAAAGCUUACAAAUUUUCAACUCUGAGAUAAAUGUAAAGUUAAAAGAUUAAGAAUUUUUCAGACUCACAGACAGAGAACAGACUUGUGGUUGCCAAGGGUGGGGGGAAGAGAGUGGGAUGGACUGGGAAUUUGGGUUAGUAGAUGCAAACUAUUACGUUUAGAUUGGGGAGACAACAAGGUCCUACUGUAUAGUACAGGGAACUAUAUCCAGUCUCCUGGGAUGGAUCAUGAUGGAAGAUACUAUAAGAAAAGGAAUGCAUAUAUAUUUAAGACUGGGUCACUUUGCUGUACAGCAGAAAUCAGUACAACAUUAUAAAUCAACUAUACUU